AUUGAACGCUGGCGGCAUGCCUUACACAUGCAAGUCGAACGGCAGCACGGGUGCUUGCACCUGGUGGCGAGUGGCGAACGGGUGAGUAAUACAUCGGAACAUGUCCUGUAGUGGGGGAUAGCCCGGCGAAAGCCGGAUUAAUACCGCAUACGAUCUACGGAUGAAAGCGGGGGACCUUCGGGCCUCGCGCUAUAGGGUUGGCCGAUGGCUGAUUAGCUAGUUGGUGGGGUAAAGGCCUACCAAGGCGACGAUCAGUAGCUGGUCUGAGAGGACGACCAGCCACACUGGGACUGAGACACGGCCCAGACUCCUACGGGAGGCAGCAGUGGGGAAUUUUGGACAAUGGGCGAAAGCCUGAUCCAGCAAUGCCGCGUGUGUGAAGAAGGCCUUCGGGUUGUAAAGCACUUUUGUCCGGAAAGAAAUCCUUGGCCCUAAUACGGUCUGAGGAUGACGGUACCGGAAGAAUAAGCACCGGCUAACUACGUG
rnacentral:rRNA from 1 species